UACGAAGGGUGCAAACGUUAUUCGGAAUCACUGGGCGUAAAGGGUGCGUAGACGGUCUGUUAAGUUCGUUGUUAAAGGCUCCGGCCCAACCGGAGUAUUGCGAUGAAAACUGGCACACUAGAGGGUGAGAGAGAGAAGUGGAAUUCCCGGGGUAGCGGUAAAAUGCGUGGAUCUCGGGAGGAACACCAAUGGCGAAGGCAGCUUCUUGGCUCAUACCUGACGUUGAGGCACGAAAGCGUGGGGAGCAAACAGG
rnacentral:rRNA from 1 species